AUGUUGAUCCAUUUUAUGACUAGUUGUAUGAUAUAUUCAUAUUCGGAUGUUCCGUUAAGGAUACAAAAUGUUUCUGUUUGGUAUCAGAAUGCCUUAAUAGAACUAAUUACUUAUUUUAUUCAUACAUAUCAGUCAAAUUACCAUGUUUUUAUCCUUUCUUUAAUGAAUUGGAGUCCUCAUUAUUUUCUAUUUUAUAUUCCACAUUCCAAGUUACUGUUACUUAUAUUUAUAUAA